CGUUGUUCGGAUUUACUGGGCGUAAAGGGCGCGUAGGCGGCAAAUUAAGUCAUCUGUGAAAUCUCCGAGCUUAACUCGGAACGGUCAGGUGAUACUGAUCUGCUAGAGUGCGGAAGGGGCAAUCGGAAUUCUUGGUGUAGCGGUGAAAUGCGUAGAUAUCAAGAGGAACACCUGAGGUGAAGACGGGUUGCUGGGCCGACACUGACGCUGACAGCGCGAAAGCCAGGGGAGCAAACGGG
rnacentral:rRNA from 1 species